AUGACUUCUACAGAGUCAAGAGCCCCAGAGCCAGUAAUGGUGAACCCACUGGGGCUAACUGGGAGAAAGGAUGAAAUUUCAUUCCAUAAGGAAUUGUCUGAGGAGCAGCUUGUUGCUAUACACUCCUGGAAAGCCUCCAGAGUUAAAAGGUACCAUUGCCAGUUACCGUUGCUCAGAGGUACAGCUCUUUGUCUGGUACCUAAGAAUGAUUUUAGGGGAAAGGAGUAAGCCAUAUAUCUGCUCCACUGUAGUCUGAAGUUGAGAGAUCUGAAGAAAGAACAAAGCACAGAUAAUGGUAAGUAUUUGUUCAUGUACUUGUAUUAAAUAAACUAACCAUGUUUAAAGGAUAACUCUUUUAA
rnacentral:lncRNA from 1 species